UCGGUACGUACUGGUGUUACUGAUUUCUACCUUCUGACGAACCAUCAUGUCAUUAAUUCGGUGUGGUGGGGAAUCAGGACUGUUACUUUGAAAAAAUUAGAGUGUUUAAAGCAGGCUCGCGCUUGAAUACAUUAGCAUGGAAUAAUGAAAUAGGACGUUGAUCCUAUUUUGUUGGUUUCUAGGAUUGACGUAAUGAUUAAUAGGGAUAGUUGGGGGCAUUAGUAUUCAAUUGUCAGAGGUGAAAUUCUUGGAUUUAUUGAAGACUAACUACUGCGAAAGCAUUUGCCAAGGAUGUUUUCAUUAAUCAAGAACGAAAGUUAGGGGAUCGAAGACGAUCAGAUACCGUCGUAGUCUUAACCAUAAACUAUGCCGACUAGGGAUCGGAUGAUGUUAUUUUUAAUGACUCAUUCGGCGCCUUACG
rnacentral:rRNA from 1 species